GUGGAUGCGGCCUCGAUUAGCGGGGGAACCACAUGAAAAAAAGCGAGCUACUGGGUGUACCUCCUGGGUAGUUUGGAAAUCACCUAAAAUAUAUAUGUAUAUAUUUAUAAAUAAAAGUUAAUAUAUAUAAAUUAACAUUAUUAUUUUUUAACAGGAAAUGCACAAUGCUAAAAACUGCGUAGGAGAUUUUAAUACAAUAGUACUACCAAGCCUGAUGUUGGCCGCUAUUUCAAUGAAUGCAGCAGUGUGACAGCUAGCAAUCAAAAGUAACAAGAUAUCGAGGAAAUGCAGAUGGCAAUAAACUGUGUAGAAGUUCAUGAUUGCAAUAGAAUAAAAUCGACCAAGCCUGAAGUCAGCAGCCCCUUCAAUGAAUGCAGCAGUGUGACAGCCAGCAAUCAAAAGUUACAAGAUAUCGAGGAAAUGCAGAAGGCAAAAAACUGCGUAGGAGAUCAUUAAUACAAAAGUAUUAUAUAAACCAAGCCUGAUGUUGGCCGCUCAUUCAAAGAAUGCAGCAGUGUGACAGCCAGCAAUCAAAAGUAACAAGAUAUCGAGGAAAUGCAGAAGGCAAAAAACUGCGUAGGAGAUCAUUAAUACAAUAGUAUUAUAUAAACCAAGCCUGAUGUUGGCCGCUCAUUCAAAGAAUGCAGCAGUGUGACAGCCAGCAAUCAAAAGUAACAAGAUGUCGAGGAAAUGCAGAGUGCAAUAAACUGUGUAGGAGAUUAUGAUUGUAAUAGAAUAAAAUCGACCAAGCCUGAAGUCCUUCAAUGCACGCAGCAGUGUGACAGCCAGCAAUCAAAAGUUACAAGAUAUCGAGGAAAUGCAGAAGGCAAAAAACUGCGUAGGAGAUCAUUAAUACAAUAGUAUUAUAUAAACCAAGCCUGAUGUCGGCCGCUCAUUCAAAGAAUGCAGCAGUGUGACAGCCAGCAAUCAAAAGUAACAAGAUGUCGAGGAAAUGCAGAGUGCAAUAAACUGUGUUGGAGAUUAUGAUUGUAAUAGAAUAAAAUCGACCAAGCCUGAAGUCCUUCAAUGCACGCAGCAGUGUGACAGCCAGCAAUCAAAAGUUACAAGAUAUCGAGGAAAUGCAGAAGGCAAAAAACUGCGUAGGAGAUUAUUAAUACAAUAGUAUUAUAUCAACCAAGCCUGAUGUCGGUAGCUUCUUCAAUGAAUGCAGCAGUGUGACAGCCAGCAAUCAAUAGUGACAAGAAUCUAGGAAAUACAGAAGGCAAAGAAGCAGAUGUCAUCAAAAAAGAUCUUUGUUCCUGCAAUGUUUCCGCAGACGAUACAGAUCCAACAGAGCGAAGUGGAAGGAAAAGACUCGGAAAAAAGACCCCACCACCAUAUGGGAACAAUGCAAGGGAGAGAGAGAGAAUAUAAUGUUAUAUUUUUAUUUUUUGAUAACAUAAAAUAAACCAACAAUAUCCUACAUAUUUUUUUUUAUUUCUUUUUGUGUCUGUCUUAAUAGUUAUUACAAAUCUGUGAUGCGAAACAAACUAUACGAAAACGUCAAUCCACAUACAACGCCCGCGAAGCUGCUUUAGCAGCGAGCGCACUUAGCACCAUCUAGUUAAAUCAUUAAAUAGAUAAAAACCUGUGUAUAUUUUUAUGUUAUUGUUAAGUUUAUUCUCUACCUACUUACUUACUAAUAUGUUACCAUAUUAAGUCUGUUCAAAAAUCAUAAAUAGGUACUUGUUCUUCAUCUAUCAUGUAGGUUGUGAAGUGGAUGACCAACCUCAUCAACCAGAGUUAUUGCUGAGCCGCCAAUGUCGUUGGAUCAGCCAGCCAUGUCCUAACUGAACCAAGGAUCACAAAGAAAUUUUUGUGUUUUGUCUCCACCGGGACUUGAACCUGGGACCUCCGGAAUGUCAGCCACUGGACCACAUAGGCCGAGAGUAUAUGGUUAAGUUGCUGUAUUAUUUCAACUAUUUAAUUAAAUGUAGGAAU